UACGUAGGGCGCAAGCGUUGUCCGGAAUUAUUGGGCGUAAAGAGCUCGUAGGCGGCUUGUCGCGUCGGACGUGAAAGCUCAGGGCUUAACCCUGAGUCUGCGUUCGAUACGGGCAGGCUAGAGGCAGGUAGGGGAGAACGGAAUUCCCGGUGUAGCGGUGAAAUGCGCAGAUAUCAAGUGGAACACCAGUGGCGAAGGCGAGUCCCUGGACAUUUCCUGACACUGAGGCACGAAAGCUAGGGGAGCAAACAGG
rnacentral:rRNA from 1 species